AUGGGGGAAGCGGCGAAAGGGGCAGUAAUGUAUGGACAACCUACCUCGGGGAUGGGGAUAGCCUUCCUAACGGAUGGGUAAUACCCGGCGAGGUGGCGGCGGGGCAUCCCGCCUCCACGAAAGAGUUUCGCCUCGAGAGGGGUCCAUAUCGUAUUAGCUAGUUGGCGGGGUAACGGCCCACCAAGGCGAAGAUGCGUAGCGGGUGUGAGAGCACGACCCGCGCCACUGGCACUGAGACACUGGCCAGACACCUACGGGUGGCUGCAGUCGAGGAUCUUCGUCAAUGGACGCAAGUCUGAACGAGCGAUGCCGCGUGGACGACGAAGGCCUUCGGGUUGUAAAGUCCGAAAGCGGGAAUAAAGGCGCAAGCUUGAUAGAACCGCAGUAAGCUCGGGCUAAGUUCGUGCCAGUAGCCGCGGUAAGACGAACCGAGCGAACGUUGUUCGGAAUCACUGGGCUUAAAGGGCGCGUAGGCGGGCAUUCAAGUCCGAGGUGAAAUACUCCGGCUCAACCGGAGAACUGCCUCGGAUACUGAGUGUCUCGAGUGAGGUAGGGGCGGGCGGAACUAUGGGUGGAGCGGUGAAAUGCGUUGAUAUCCAUGGGAACUCCGGUGGCGAAGGCGGCCCGCUGGACCUCUACUGACGCUGAGGCGCGAAAGCCAGGGGAGCAAACGGGAUUAGAUACCCCGGUAGUCCUGGCCCUAAACGUUGGGUACUGGAUAGUAGUCUUCACAUGGGAUUACUGUCGCAGCGAAAGUGCUAAGUACCCCGCCUGGGGAGUAUGGCCGCAAGGCUGAAACUCGAAGGAAUUGACGGGGGCUCACACAAGCGGUGGAGCAUGUGGCUUAAUUCGAGGCUACGCGAAGAACCUUAUCCUAGACUUGACAUGUGCGAAAGCGUCUGCAGGUAGAACCCGGAAACGGGAACGAACGGUAUCCAAUCCGGAAGCAGAUACAGGUGCUGCAUGGCUGUCGUCAGCUCGUGUCGUGAGAUGUCGGGUUAAGUCCCAUAACGAGCGAAACCCUUACUCCAUAGUUACUACGGGUCAUGCCGAGGACUCUAGGAGGACUGCCGGUGUUAAACCGGAGGAAGGCGGGGAUGACGUCAAGUCCUCAUGGCCUUUACGUCUAGGGCUGCACACGUGCUACAAUGGCGCGAACAAAGAGACGCAAACCCGCGAGGGGGAGCAAAUCUCAAAAAGCGCGCCCCAGUUCAGAUCGAAGGCUGCAACUCGCCUUCGUGAAGUUGGAAUCGCUAGUAAUCGCGGGUCAGCAACACCGCGGUGAAUGUGUUCCUGAGCCUUGUACACACCGCCCGU
rnacentral:rRNA from 1 species